rnacentral:rRNA from 1 species
AUACGGAGGGAGCGAGCGUUAAUCGGAAUUACUGGGCGUAAAGCGCGCGUAGGCGGCUUUGUAAGUCGGAUGUGAAAGCCCUGGGCUCAACCUGGGAAUUGCAUUCGAUACUGCAGAGCUAGAGUAUGGUAGAGGGAAGCGGAAUUUCCGGUGUAGCGGUGAAAUGCGUAGAUAUCGGAAGGAACACCAGUGGCGAAGGCGGCUUUCUGGCCCAAUACUGACGCUCAGGUGCGAAAGCGUGGGUAGCGAACAGGAUUAGAAACCCCAGUAGUCC